rnacentral:rRNA from 1 species
UACGUAGGGUGCAAGCGUUAAUCGGAAUUACUGGGCGUAAAGCGUGCGCAGGCGGUUGUGUAAGACAGAUGUGAAAUCCCCGGGCUCAACCUGGGAACUGCAUUUGCGACUGCACAGCUAGAGUGCGGCAGAGGGGGAUGGAAUUCCGCGUGUAGCAGUGAAAUGCGUAGAUAUGCGGAGGAACACCGAUGGCGAAGGCAAUCCCCUGGGCCUGCACUGACGCUCAUGCACGAAAGCGUGGGCAGCAAACAGG